rnacentral:rRNA from 1 species
CGUGUAGGCGGUCCGGUAAGUCCGCUGUGAAAGUCGGGGGCUCAACCCUCGAAUGCCGGUGGAUACUGUCGGGCUUGAGUACGGAAGAGGCGAGUGGAAUUCCUGGUGUAGCGGUGAAAUGCGCAGAUAUCAGGAGGAACACCAAUUGCGAAGGCAGCUCGCUGGGACGUUACUGACGCUGAGACGCGAAAGCGUGGGAGCAAACA